rnacentral:rRNA from 1 species
GUAGUCCACGCUGUAAACGAUGAGAGCUAGCUGUUGGAGGCUUUCCCCUUCGGUGACGGAGCUAACGCGCUAAGUUCUCCGCCUGGGGAGUACGGCCGCAAGGUUAAAACUCAAAGGAAUUGACGGGGGCCCGCACAAGCGGUGGAGCAUGUGGUUUAAUUCGAUGCAACGCGAAGAACCUUACCUACUUUUGACAUCCCGAUAACUUUUUCCAGAUGCGAAUGUGCCCGCGAGGGAUGGAUGAGAGACGGGCGGUGUGGGUGUGGCCUCCUCUCGUGUCGAGAUGUGGGGGUAAGUCCCGUAACGAGAGCGCCCCUUGUGCCUUUAUACCAUCCAUUAAAGUGGGGGAUUCUAUGGAAAUGGCCGGGGAUAAACCGGAGGAAGGGGGGGAUGACGUCAAGUCCUCUGGGCCUUUAUAAGUAGGGGCUAGGCGCGUGCUACAUGGGGCAUAACAAGGGUUGCCGAACUCCGAGGGGGGAGCCGGAUCUCAAAAAGCUGUUCGUAGUCCGGAUUGGAGUCUGCAACUCGACUCCAUGAAGUCGGAAAUCGCUAGUAAUCGCGGAUCAGCAUGUCGCGGUGAAUA